rnacentral:rRNA from 1 species
UGCGUAGGCGGUUAUAUAAGUCGUUUGUAAAAGACCUCAGCUCAACUGAGUAAAGCGAAUGAAACUGUAUGACUUGAAUACGGUAGAGGUAAGUGGAAUUCCAUGUGUAGCGGUGGAAUGCGUAGAUAUAUGGAGGAACACCAAUGGCGAAGGCAACUUACUGGGCCGGAAUUGACGCUGAGGCACGAAAGCGUGGGGAGCGAACAGGAUUAGAUACCCUGGUAGUCC